AUUGAACGCUGGCGGCAUGCCUAACACAUGCAAGUCGAACGGGGUGUAGCAAUACAUCUAGUGGCGGACGGGUGAGGAAUACAUAGGAAUUUGCCCUUAAGUGGGGGAUAGUCCGGGGAAACUCGGUUUAAUACCGCAUGAUCUCGUGAGAGCAAAGCAGGGGACCGCAAGGCCUUGCGCUUUUGGAGAAGCCUAUGUCGGAUUAGCUAGUUGGUAGGGUAAUGGCCUACCAAGGCGACGAUCCGUAACUGGUCUGAGAGGAUGAUCAGUCACACCGGAACUGAGACACGGUCCGGACUCCUACGGGAGGCAGCA
rnacentral:rRNA from 1 species